rnacentral:rRNA from 1 species
UACAGAGGGGGCAAGCGUUGUUCGGAAUUACUGGGCGUAAAGGGCGCGUAGGCGGCCUUCUAAGUCGAACGUGAAAUCCCCGGGCUCAACCCGGGAACUGCGUCCGAUACUGGAAGGCUUGAAUCCGGGAGAGGGAUGCGGAAUUCCAGGUGUAGCGGUGAAAUUCGUAGAUAUUCGGCGGAACACCAGUGGCGAAGGCGACUCACUGGCCCGAUACUGACGCUGAGGCGCGAAAGCGUGGGGAGCGAACAGG